rnacentral:lncRNA from 1 species
AGUUUCAACUUUCUUCUUCUUUUUAAUCACCUUGUAAAGGUUUGUUGGUGAGCCCGUAAAACCAACGGUAAAGGUUUGUUGGUGAGCCCGUAAAACCAACGGUGUAGGUUGUUGGUAAGCCCGUAAAACCAACGUAGGUUGUUGGUAAGCCCGUAAAACCAAUGUAGGUUGUUGGUGAACCCGUAAAACCAAUUGUGAAGGUUCGUUGGUGAGCCCGUAAAACCAACAUAGGUUCUUGGUGAUCCCGGAAAACCAAAGUGUAAAGGUUUUU